CCUACGGGUGGCAGCAGUGGGGAAUAUUGGACAAUGGGCGAAAGCCUGAUCCAGCCAUGCCGCGUGUGUGAAGAAGGCCUUCGGGUUGUAAAGCACUUUCAGUGGGGAAGAAAGCCUUGGGGCUAAUACCCUCGAGGAAGGACAUCACCCACAGAAGAAGCACCGGCUAACUCCGUGCCAGCAGCCGCGGUAAUACGGAGGGUGCGAGCGUUAAUCGGAAUUACUGGGCGUAAAGCGCGCGUAGGCGGUCUGAUAAGCCGGUUGUGAAAGCCCCGGGCUCAACCUGGGAACGGCAUCCGGAACUGUCAGGCUAGAGUGCAGGAGAGGAAGGUAGAAUUCCCGGUGUAGCGGUGAAAUGCGUAGAGAUCGGGAGGAAUACCAGUGGCGAAGGCGGCCUUCUGGACUGACACUGACGCUGAGGUGCGAAAGCGUUGGUAGCAAACAGGAUUAGAUACCCUGGUAGUC
rnacentral:rRNA from 1 species